rnacentral:lncRNA from 1 species
GACGGAAGGACCAGUUGAUUAUUAGCAAUACAAAGAAAGAUAGUCUAAUAAACAGGGGAGUAGUUACAGGCUCAUCUCAGCUCUCACCUAACUUGUCGCUAAUUCGCUAUAAGUGUAACGGCCACCAUUUUAGCUCAUAGCUAAUCAUAGCUAAGUGCACGGUAAUAUAAAACUAAUUACAACAAGCUGGAUAAUUUAGUACACUUUGAUAUUAAAAUACAUGAAUCAAUUAUCAAACUUUGAUGGUGUUUUAGGUACACUUGUAUACCAAGUUCACUCCACAAAAAGAAUUCAGACCACCAUUCUUUUACAUAUAUAAGUACAAUAGUGCACAUAACACUGGCUAUAGUCACCUAGUUAGUACAAUAUAUGAGGUGAGGAACGCGGAGGGCACAUACUCUCACCUUUCCACCCGUUGGACAGUUUCGAUGGGCGGGAGGGUGAGAUCAUGUGCCCUCAAGGGCACAAAAAACGUUACCAUGAGGUGUAGUCAUGCCCUUCUAGAAUGGAGUAAUCCAAUCAGUAGCAGCAGCUCAAUGGCACACAAUGAGGUUCCUUGACUAGGCCAUGAUUGGGAUUAAAUAUCAUAGGAGAGAUGGAGGAAGGUUGUAGAAAAAGGGCUCAGUAAAGGUGAAAGGAGCCUUGCCUCCAUCGAAGAGUAAUCAUCCAAUUCUUGGCUCUCCACUCACGACCGAGGCCUCCAGAAAAAACAUAUCACCUACUCCUUGCUUUAGAAAUCACCAACAACACACACCAGCACAAUAUGGUGAUAUGAUCACCAUGGAGAGCGACAUGGGGUGAGAAGGGGAGGGGCUGACCAAGAGAGGAAGUAAGCAGAGAGCCCAACUGCUUGGAAGCAAAUCCAGAAGCACAUUUGAAUCAAUUAAGACGUGCAGGAGAGGAGUGAGUGUCUGAGAAAAAUAAGCCUAAGAUUGGAGCUAAACAUCAUCAAUAUUAAAGUGGGGUUCACAAGCACAUCUUAGAACAUUUCUUUUCCCUCUACCAACAACAAAAAGCACCUUCCAUGGAGAGCAGCGCAACAAUUAGGUGCUCAAUAAUAUAUUGGGCCAAGAGAGAUGUGCCAACUGUUAGAAGAAGAACUAGCAUCCCUUCUUUAGUUCUACUCAUAAAAUACUUAAACUUUGGCUAAAAGCCUAAAACUCUAACACAAGGAUCAAUCUGCACAUCUAGAGCACUCAGGUAUGUAGCUUUGAGUACAGAGUUGCAGACUAGAUAGGCUUAUGAAGAACCAAAAAAAGAGCACUUACUACUAGGUUAGGGAAGUCGCUGUCCGAGUUCGAACCCCAACACAACACCACACAAGUACACAGCAGCAUGCAUGGGCUCCUUGGCUCUGUCCCUGACCUGCAAGCAUAUGAGAGGAAGAAAUCGAAGGGGAAAUCAGUAUAUAGCAACCAUAAUCCAUACAGAUUAUUCUGGAGUCAAAAUCUUUUAAAAGCCCCAACCAUGAUUGUUGAUCUGGUGUUGAUAACUUGAACAACAUGGAAGAAGAGGAAAGAAAGCACGCAGAGAGAGAGAGAGAGAGAGUAUUAUGGGGCCUGUUUGGGUGGAAAACUCCAAGCAGUUGCCUGCCAGCCAAGCCAUCCUGGC